UCUGGCCAUUUUGAGAGAUUAUGUUUUGUAUUAGGUUACUUGUUGACUUGAGUUCAUCCAUAUCGACUAGGUUGAUCAGACAUGAGAUGUGCUGAUCCAAACCAUAUUAGUCAUUACAUCAGAUAUAUGUGACUAAUUAUAAGAGACCUGAAUCUAAAUCUUCUCACUAAAUAUUAAGUCUACUGAUCUUCCAUCGUUGUAAAGAUGCAGGUAACUU
rnacentral:lncRNA from 1 species